UCUUGGUCAUUUAGAGGAAGUAAAAGUCGUAACAAGGUUUCCGUAGGUGAACCUGCGGAAGGAUCAUUAAUGAAUCAAAGGCUGUGGGUCCCCUGUGGACCUGCACUUUUAUCCAUUUUUCACCCCUCUGUGCACAUCGGUGUCGAGCCCUUGAUCCUUCGAGGGCUUGCGCUCCUUUUUAUUCUAUAUACACUCUUUUCGCAUGUCAUGUGAACGAAUCAUAUAAAAUAUAUAUAUACAACUUUCAACAACGGAUCUCUUGGCUCUCGCAUCGAUGAAGAACGCAGCGAAAUGCGAUAAGUAAUGUGAAUUGCAGAAUUCAGUGAAUCAUCGAAUCUUUGAACGCACCUUGCGCCCUUUGGUAUUCCGAAGGGCACGCCUGUUUGAGAGUCGUGAAUUUCUCAACCUUCUCACCUUUUACGGGGUUGUAGAGGGCUUUGGACUUGGAGGGCUGUCAUCGCCACCUUUUUGUUGGAAUUUGACUCCUCUGAAAUGCAUUAGCAAUUUUGGCCCUGUUUCCCCACUGCGGUGUGAUAAUGAAAUNUGUCUUGCGCCGUUGGGUGGGUUUUAAACAAAUGUUUAAUUUAAAAAGGGCCAGGCUUUUAAUUUGUCUCAAUUCUUGACACAAUUGACCUCAAAUCAGGUGGGACUACCCGCUGAACUUAAGCAUAUCAAUAA
rnacentral:rRNA from 1 species